ACAGGGUGUGUGCUCGUCAGGGUAUAGCUCUGAUCCAGGUUUAGGAGGUCUUCAGCCCCCUUGUGAGGAAGACUCAGACCCCAAAAAGUCAGCCUUUGGGCAAGACCCAGAGCCCAACUGUUGUGCCAGAGAAACAGGAUCUUGAGUCCCAGCUUUAAAAAAAGGAUUAUAAAAAGUUUGUGUUUAAAA